UACGUAGGGUGCGAGCGUUAAUCGGAAUUACUGGGCGUAAAGCGUGCGCAGGCGGUUUUGUAAGCCAGAUGUGAAAUCCCCGGGCUUAACCUGGGAAUGGCAUUUGGGACUGCAAGGCUGGAGUUUGGCAGAGGAGACUGGAAUUCCCGGUGUAGCAGUGAAAUGCGUAGAUAUCGGGAGGAAUACCGAUGGCGAAGGCAGGUCUCUGGGCUAUAACUGACGCUCAUGCACGAAAGCGUGGGGAGCGAACAGG
rnacentral:rRNA from 1 species